rnacentral:lncRNA from 1 species
UUAUUUGGAAACAUCUGAAUGUGCUACAUAUGAUUGCUGUUGCUGCUUGCUGUGAAGUCUGGUCCAUAAUUUGUUUUCAUUCUGUUAAGGGUGAAAAACAUAGCCCUAAUUAACAAAGACUGUGUGCUAAACUUAAAAUGCAAAGAUGACUGCAUGAAUAUCCAUUAUGAGGACAUUAGUGUUUCUGUAGAAGAAUGAAGGAACUGAGUCGGCAUUUGGUAUGGGAAAUGUCCCACUUGCGUCCUACAUACCUGGCAUGUGCCUGCAGGGUCAUAACCCAUUGCACUAGGCAAAGGAGUGGCCUCGGUAACGAUCAUUUUUGUUGACAUGAAGACCAGCUCUGUAGACUGGCUCAAGGCUUAAAGGGACACACUAAAUCAGUUUAAAGUGGUUAAGUAUUCUUUUAAUACUGUUUUUGUCAAUUUCAUGGUGAGAGGUUGUUACUAUGAGAGGAAACGAAGGCUAAACUUCUAUUUUUUGAAUUUCAUGCCGAAACAGCAGAGCCGGUGUGCCAGUGUGACAUGACAAGUUUUGAAGUAUUUUCUCGUAUUUAGGCCAUUGUGACAAUGCAGACAUUCUCCAAACGUGCUCAAUUCAGUUUUUGGCUCCUUUAGGAUAUGAUGUAGUUUAUCUUGUAGUUCAAGUAAUGGACUAGGCCCCAGCCGACGCUGUCAAAAUACAUGGAAUCACGGCGAGCUGUGGUGGGAACUUCAAGGCUGGGGCGCUGCCAUUCAUCUUUAGUCUUUGGAUCUGUUCUGGCCUACCAAACCUCUCAUGUUAAGAGUGGCUUUACUGGUAUUGCAGAAUUUACUGGUAAUGCAGAAUUCAAGCCAACUUUCUGGACUUGAGGAUUAAACACAUACAGUUCUACAAACUUAGUCACCAACUUCUUGGCGCUUAGCUUAUAAGAGAUGCCAUCAGUUGGUUCUGUUGCACAAUCUGCUCACGCUGUAGCUGAUGAGCUUUCAAAACGAAGCUGACCUCUUCCAUCAAAGACCGUGAUCCGGAGUUCUUUUGACACAUCAAUUGAAAAACUAGUUCGUCGGAAGUCACCAGACCACGCAAGUUCACUUUCAUGGCACCCUUCCAAAGUAGUUCAGUACUGUCCACGGAAGCUUUCUCCAAAACGAAGUUCACGAGUUCUGCCGAGCUCAGUCCAUGAGGUUGUUCCACCGCUGGUUCAUCUUGAGCUUGUUAUAUCGAAAAGGUGAUCUUCACAGCGGCGGUCUCCUCAAGGAAAAAUGUUGCCCACAUGUUGGAAUCGGUUGCCGGUUGCACCAAAAUAAUGUAGCAUUCUUAGCUAAAAGGGCAAAAUAUAAAGCUUUGCUGUGGAACUGACAUCCGCCUUGUCUCCAUUUAUUCCAACUUCGUCUUCCUUUUCUCCCUCCCCAGCCUCUUGCAUGUAAUCUUUUAUCCAAAGGCUCAUAUCACUUUAACAUGCAUAUCUUUUAUUCAUUGUAUGAGCAGUAGACUGACAUACGCCUAUCUUGGAAAUAGCAGAAAUGGUGCAUUUACCUUUUCUCAUACCAUGGAAUUGCAGUAUCUUGCCAGUGUACAACUGUAAAGAGUUUUCAGAGCACUGAAGCCCCAAUAAACUUAAGUGUUAUUACCUGUAGCACUCCACCUGUAAUUCAGGAGUGCAACAUGGUAGUUCGUACAAAGAAGCAUAUACAGCGUGUUUGAAUUUGAAGAAACAUGCAUUGAUUGCUACGAAAUUUUGUUUGUUUACAAAUUCAAAGCACAAAAACUUCAGUUAGGGGUACACAAGACAAUUUUUAAAAAGCAUACGUAGGGAGAUGUAAUGUUUCAUUCCAGUUACUCCAUCUUUAAGCAUUAGGAUCAACGAACAGUAUUGACUAUAUCGGGUGAAAUAUAUUUUGAUAUUGGCACUAAAACUCGCGCAUCGAUGACAGGGGGUGACAUUCUGUGGCGAAACGUGUCAUCAGGCCUUGAAAACCGUGUCCAUUUCUAAAGAAAUGUACAGGCCUCACUUGGUUUCAAAUCUUAUACCAAUAAAGUCACAAAUAUGUUUAUUCCCUAUUUUUGCAAAGUAUCUCGAUUUAUCUGUGUACUAUUGGUAAUUUGCAAAUAGUUUUAUAAAUAUGUGGCGCUGCCUGCACACAGGGAAGCAGAGUCAUUAAUUGAUGGAGCACCACCGUCUAGCAAGCUUCUCGCAAGUACGAAACCAGUCACUGUACUGGAACAACGUGCAACGGUCUGCACGCCAGCUGACAGUGAGUUUUCGGGAUGACCACACUAGCGGUGAAACGUGCACCGCCGCCUACCUUAGUCGACUUGGUCCAUUCUUUCAUUGGUCGGACACAUAGAUAGUGAUGGUUGCCUCUAAGAUGCCUCUGAGUAACAAAAGCAGAUCUUGAAGGCCAUAUUUUAUUCUGUUGCCGGCAAGAAAUUCUGCAAAAUAUAAAAGCAUCUGUGACAUCUCUACAGUAAUAAAAAGUAGUAGCUGUUUUUAGGCUGCAAUCUCGGCGUUUAAUACAACAGCUAUUCUGCCUCCUAAUGUGCAUAUGUUUCAAAUUACUCAGUUGCUGUUGCCAUCAAUAUCAGUUGUCACUGUUGCCGGCGUCCAUACACAGUAAGUUGACUUUGCAGAUUGAAAAGUUACGUUUGAAAAUUUUCCAAACAUUUUCUGGAUGAACUGUUGUGGGUACAGGUGCUUCAGAUUGUAGGCUUUCCAUCGCACAAAGAAAAGGGGAAUGCUUAAAAAUCGGUUGUCUGUCCCUUUAAGCACUUAAGUUCCGCAAUUGCUUCGUGAACUGAAGUUACUUAAUAAAAAGUUUAGUUAGGUAAAUUUAAUAAUUGUGCAGUUUAUUGCCAGUUGUCACCAGUUUCUGAUGUCUGCAACUGCUAAUAAAUUUAGCCAACAAACACCAUAAUAAUUAGCCUAUAUAUGUCCACGGCAGGGCUAAGGCCGAGAGAGGCCUUAGCCCUGCCGUAGACAUACCCCUGUGUUGUGUCAGCAGGUUCUAUCAUACGCCUGUGAACGUACCGACUACACCACCUAAUCCUUUGCCACCCUUGGCUGAAUUUUCCUCUCUUGGCAUUCAUUUCGUUGUUUUGAUAGACUGUAUGUUAUCUGCUCUGUGCAUUACACGACCUGCCGAACGUCACGUCUUCCUCUUAAUUGCAACCAGGAUAUCAGCUGCACCCUUUUGCUCUCUAAUUCAUGCAGCCCUCUUUCUGUCCGUCAAAGCUACCAUUUUCCAUUCCAUCACUCAUUGCAUGAUCCUUUGCUUUUUCUCAAGCAAAGUUAUCCUUGAAGUUCUGGCUCCAUAGGUAUAAUGCUGAUUGUGUAAUGGUAUAAUGUGCUGAUUGUAUACUUUUCAGCAGGAUGUUGAUAACCGCC